GGAGCUGUGCCUGAAACAGGACCACUUUGAUAGAGUGAUACAUGGGGGUUAGAUUCCCUCCAGCUUCC
rnacentral:tRNA from 1 species